ensembl:snRNA U2 U2 spliceosomal RNA
AUUGCUUCCCAGCCUUUUGGCUAAGAUCGAGGGUAGUAUCUGCUCUUCUCAGUUUAGUAUUUGAUGUAUCCUGUCCUGUAUCCAAUGACAAUAUAUUAAAUGGAUUUUUGGAGCAGGGAUUUGGAAUAGGGGCUUGCUCCAUCCGCUCCACACAUCAACCUGGUGUUGCAGGACCGCCAGGCACGUGUGCCCCCU